rnacentral:lncRNA from 1 species
AAUAAAUAUUUUUUUUAUCAUUUAAGAGAACGGACUAUCUUUAUUUUAAAGAAUAAGAAUGUCUGCCCAAAAAAUGAAACUCAAACCCAAAGGUAAACCACAUCUGCCAACUGCCAUUGAGAAAAAGGCUGUAGCAGAACAAUAUCAGCAAAAUCAUUAAAUUAAUUAUUAAUUGGUUUACAAUAAGAGGGUGAUGUUUCAUCUUACAGAAGCAAGGGGCAAAGCCAAUCCACCACUAGACUGGCAAAUCAAACGAAUACACAACUCUGCAACCACAGAAAAAAUCUUUAAAAUAGAGCAGACAUAAGAAAAGAUUUACAUUCAUUCAACUUUCAACCUACUGAUAUGUUAUAUGUAGCCCUCCAAUCUCCUUUUCUUUCGGCUUUGCAAAUUGUUUUUAGCCAAAAAUAUACUUGGAUCUGUCGGAUCUGAUGACACGAACACUUUUUAAGUGUUCAUCUGUCUGCUUUUUAAUCUAACUUCUUUUUAACUAAUGAUUAUGUUAUACGUAUGGUGUUAAUCUCAUCAUCGUUUAACUUUUUAAUCGAAUAAUGAUUAAUGCUUCAACGUACUACAAUUCAGAAAGAAUGACAAUUCCAUCCCUCCUUUCUUUUUUGCCCUUUUUUUCUUUUGGCAUCACUUAGGUUUCUUGUAGAUUUUUAGUACCUCAUCUUAUCAAUGACUAAAAAUGUCAAGUGAAGAAUUAUGCGGUUGAAGAUAAAAUAAUAAAAACAUAAUAAAACUGGGCCAGUUAACGAGGUCCUUUUAUGCCGACGCGACGUGAUUGUGCAUGUAUGAAAUAUUGUACUGAACAUUGAUGAGCCAUUGUCCAAAUCAAUAACUGGACCAGUUAUUGAGGCUGGCAUAGUCUCUAUUAACAAGGACUAGCCCAAAGUAUCACUCAAUCUAGGCUUCAGCAGUUGCCAUCCCAAAUCCGAUCAAGUGCUCUAUCCUAAAACCAAGAGUGGACCUUCUAACAUCCUUCAAAACUCUUAUAAAACCUCUUUUUUUUUUUUCUUUUUUUACAAU